GUGCCAGCCGCUGCGGUAAUACGGAGGGUGCAAGCGUUAAUCGGAAUUACUGGGCGUAAAGCGCACGCAGGCGGUCUGACAAGUCGGAUGUGAAAUCCCCGGGCUCAACCCGGGAACUGCAUUCGAAACUGUCAGGCUGGAGUCUUGUAGAGGGGGGUAGAAUUCCAGGUGUAGCGGUGAAAUGCGUAGAGAUCUGGAGGAAUACCGGUGGCGAAGGCGGCCCCCUGGACAAAGACUGACGCUCAGGUGCGAAAGCGUGGGGAGCAAACAGGAUUAGAUACCCUGGUAGUCCACGCUGUAAACGAUGUCUAUUUGGAGGUUGUGCCCUUGAGCGUGGCUUCCGGAGCUAACGCGUUAAAUAGACCGCCUGGGGAGUACGGCCGCAAGGUUAAAACUCAAAUGAAUUGACGGGGCCCGCACAAGCGGUGGAGCAUGUGGUUUAAUUCAAUGCAACGCGAAGAACCUUACCUGGUCUUGACAUCCACAGAAGUUUUCAGAGAUGAGAAUGU
rnacentral:rRNA from 1 species